UACGGAGGGUGCAAGCGUUAUCCGGAUUCACUGGGCUUAAAGGGUGCGUAGGUGGGCAGGUAAGUCAGUGGUGAAAUCUCCGGGCUUAACUCGGAAACUGCCAUUGAUACUAUCUUUCUUGAAUACCGUGGAGGUCAGCGGAAUAUGUCAUGUAGCGGUGAAAUGCUUAGAUAUGACAUAGAACACCAAUUGCGAAGGCAGCUGGCUACACGAAUAUUGACACUGAUGCACGAAAGCGUGGGGAGCAAACAGG
rnacentral:rRNA from 1 species